rnacentral:misc_RNA from 1 species
UGCAAUCAUACUCUCACUUUUCUCUAUUGACAUAAGACCUUCAAAGCUUUAAAGUAUGCAUAUUUUAUGUCAUACUCCAUAUCGUACCAAUAAUUCAAGGCAAUACAAGCAUGGCUUUGUCUCACAUGAUGAAACCAUAAAGAAGGUAGAUAAAGCAAAUCACCUUUGCGAACUGUCACCCGAAGUGUUGUCACAUUUUUAUACCCAGGAUAUCUAAAAUUAUGGACAAUCAAUUGUAAAAUCCAAGUAUUCAUCAAUUAUCUUCCAAGCAUCACACAACGAACCUCGCAUAAUCUGGAUUCAAGGGAUCGAUAGAUACCCAAGGCAAUACCGUACCAAUCGGUUCAAUCAACCAUCGACCAGGUUGAACUUCUCGAUAAUUCGCAGAGGGAUAAUUUUUAUAAGGAAUCCAUGGGAGAUCUGUUGGUGGAUGCAAAAGAAAUUCCUUCUCACCAGAUAUUACGCAGUAUAUGUUCUCGUACGGAUCCUUAUGCACUGGAAUAUAAAUUUGUUGCACUUUCAAGUUAUUAGGCUCAUGUGACAUGGAUCCAAUGAAAUAAUUAUAAUUUUACUGGAUGUAACAGCUCUUUGAUCUCCCAUCCAUAUGUUAACCGCAUCUGGAUAUUUUCCAAAAGCCUCAGUAGCCCACGGUACAUCUAAUUCGGCAUCUGCCCAUAAUUCUGUGAAGUCUUUUAUGAAAUUAGAGUCUUGCUUUUGGAUGUAAUGAACAUUUUGUUCUUCGGAGUUUUCCAAUGUAUUCAAAAACGUUGACAUCGGAAUAAGUCGUUCCUCUGGCAUGACAAAAUAGUUUUCAAAAGUGGCACCAUCUUUGGAUGCCUUUGCUGCAAUGGCAUCUGCAUAGCCAUUAGGAGUGACAGCAACUGUUACAAUUUUAUCACCAAGUUUUCGACGAAAGUAAGAUGUAUUCCAUUUGUUUACAGCUGGCCAAUGUUUUGUUCCACCUCUGAUAACCAAUGGAAGGUUCUUUGAUACAUAUUCUCUAUAAAAAGCCAAUGGAGAUAUAGAAUCUUCCACCUCAGAAAUAUGGUCCGUCAAA